rnacentral:rRNA from 1 species
AUUGAACGCUGGCGGCAUGCUUUACACAUGCAAGUCGAACGGCAGCGGGGAGGAGCUUGCUUCUCUGCCGGCGAGUGGCGAACGGGUGAGUAAUACAUCUGAACGUGUCGAGAAGAGGGGGAUAACCACCCGAAAGGGUGGCUAAUACCGCAUAAAUUCUGAGGAAGAAAGCUGGGGACCUGGGAAUAGGCCUAGCGCUUUUUGAGCGGCCGAUGUCGGAUUAGCUAGUUGGUGAGGUAAAGGCUCACCAAGGCGAAGAUCUGUAGCGGGUCUGAGAGGAUGAUCCGCCACACUGGGACUGAGACACGGCCCAGACUCCUACGGGAGGCAGCAGUGGGGAAUUUUGGACAAUGGGGGCAACCCUGAUCCAGCCAUGCCGCGUGUAUGAAGAAGGCCUUAGGGUUGUAAAGUACUUUUGUUAGGGAAGAAAAGUCAGCUGUGAAUAAUGGCUGAUACUGACGGUACCUAAAGAAUAAGCACCGGCUAACUACGUG